rnacentral:rRNA from 1 species
CCCAGACAGCCAGGAUGUUGGCUUAGAAGCAGCCAUCAUUUAAAGAAAGCGUAAUAGCUCACUGGUCGAGUCGGCCUGCGCGGAAGAUGUAACGGGGCUAAACCAUGCACCGAAGCUGCGGCAGCGAACGUAUCACCCAAGACAACUUUGCGGAGUUGACGAUUGACGGAGCGAAGCGACGUCAAAGCGUUCAUUAAAGUCGAGUUGGCUUAGGGAUACGUUCGUUGGGUAGGGGAGCGUUCUGUAAGCC